GGCGGCAUAGCCAAGUGGCAAGGCAGCGGUCUGCAAAACCGCUAUUCAUCAGUUCGAAUCUGAUUGCCGCCUCCA
rnacentral:tRNA from 2 species